rnacentral:rRNA from 1 species
AGUGAACGCUGGCGGUAGGCCUAACACAUGCAAGUCGAACGGCAGCACAGUAAGAGCUUGCUCUUACGGGUGGCGAGUGGCGGACGGGUGAGGAAUACAUCGGAAUCUACUUUUUCGUGGGGGAUAACGUAGGGAAACUUACGCUAAUACCGCAUACUACCUACGGGUGAAAGCAGGGGAUCUUCGGACCUUGCGCGAGUGAAGGAGCCGAUGUCGGAUUCGCUAGUUGGCGGGGUAAAGGCGCACCAAGGCGACGAUCCGUAGCUGGCAUGAGAGGGUGGUCCGCCACACUGGAACUGAGACACGGUCCAGACUCCUACGGGAGGCAGCAGUGGGGAAUCUUGGACGAUGGAGGCAAGCCUGAUCCAGCCCUACCGCGUGGGUGAAGAAGGACUUCGGGUUGUAAAGCCAUUUUGUUGGGAAAGAAAAGCAGCAGGUUAAUCCCCCGCUGUUCUGACGGUACCCAAAGAAUAAGCACCGGCUAACUUCGUG